CUCUGCUUGAGUGGGUUUGGUCCCUGUGUUCCAGUGAGCCAGUGCACACCAGUGCAGCUUUGGGAGAUUGCUUCCUAGGUUCGAUGGGUACAGGGCAAACUGGAGCACGUAUGGGGUAAGUGAGAACCCCAGCAGCUGUAAAGAGCCCAGGACAAUACAAAAGAAACAGAACCCAGAAGACUGGUAUGGAAAGUGCCAGAAGGUGUCACCACAGAAUGGACGAUGAAAAUAUAAAUGAGCCAACACUGAGUACUUGCAACGUGCAAAACCCUGACGGUGCUAGGUGCUGCAGCUGACAGAAGGAUGUAUAAAAUAUGAAUUACUGCCAUUGAGGAAAAGGAUAUUAUGCAUAGGAGGCCCAACGCCCACAGUUCCUACAUGUGGAAGAGAGAGAAAGCCCGCCCACUGUCUUCCCCACAUUCUUUCUCAUCCAAGUUGAACUGUUCUGCAGCAAAAACAAAAGAGCAAUUGAGCAUUCAUCUCUAUCAGGAGAGUAUAAGUUCUCAAAUGAGCUUCUGAAAAGACUUCACUUUCUGAAUUAAAUAAUUAAUUAAUUAAAAACUUCAAACAACUGCUGAGCUGUGUGGACAGUCUUCCAACCUCAAAUGGUUUAGUCUGUUUUCCAGUGGAAUCUCAAGCCCCCACUUCUGACCAUCCUCUGGACGUGUCUGCCUGGCUGCCCCCUCAGACUCCAAGUCUUUAAUGCUGAACUAUGGGUCGUCUCCAGACCAGUCCUUUCUGGACUCGCGCACCUUGGUACACAGCACACCCCUUACCAUGGCCUCCCGGAGAUUUCAGGCAUUUUCAAGGCCUCAGUUCAAAUCCUCCUUCUUCAUCAAGGACUGUCCUCACAAAAUCUACAUCAGCUGCCAUCAUAUUCAGUUUUUUUGUUGGAAAAAAACCAUUAUCUCCUCACCUGGACUGUGCGGCCUGGUAAAGAAGGGGACGUGUUUUCUGAUGUUGCAGUCAGUCAAGAUUUCUCAGUAAAAACUCUUAACUUAAAACCUCAGGUAAAGAUGUGGAAAUUGAUUUCAAAAAGAUGGAAAAAAUAACUCCCUUAAACGCUGAGGGAAAUGAAAAUAUAAUAGGGGAGGUGAAAAUAAAGACCCUAAAUGCCUGGAGAAUUAUCAGAGUGAAAAACCAGAAAAUUGGGAGCCUGAAAGAGCUAACCACAUUCUAAGCAGACAUUUUAGCAAUUUGAUGCAACUUUUGUCUUUUAACAUACUUUUAACUAUUUAAACUGAACGUUGUAAAGGCAACUGCCAUUUGGGGAGCACUUCUAGUUUCUUCCCCUCCCUGGGGAAAUGGAAGGUUUAUGUCCCCAACAUCACAAGGAGCAAGCAACAAACUCCGAGGGGGAAGAGCAGUGAACAAGUACUGAAUCCGUAGGAUGAACAGGCCUUACUGCCUGUUGGGAAAUACCACAUGCCCUUUUAAACACCGUGAACAAAGAAGAGGAGCAGUGGAGCAGCUCUGUGCUCAUGAGCACAAACCCACUGCCACAUGAAUGGCUCUAUAUGUCUCACUUCUCCCACAAAGGAAAAAAGUAGGAUCCUUCCCCUGUUAGGUGGCAUUUCGUCGCUUGACACUCAGUUCAACUAUUUACAUCUGGAAAACAACCCAAAGAAGCAGAAUUCAAACAAUUGUGAGGGCCAAGCAGGCAAGAGAUAGGAAGAGGCAACUUUGCAAACCCUUUCCUGUGACACUUUUUAAAUUUCCCUUUGACCAGACAGCGCAUCUGAGCAUGGGUGCUUCCAAUCACUUCAAAGAGAGCUUUCUGUCCUGCUGAAUAUUUUGGGGCCAUGGGCCAAGGCAAGUCAUGGGCUAGCACUUUUAUGCGGGGUCUUUGAUCAAGCUUCCUUUAAUCUCUUAUCGUGGGUUUGAUUCUCGUUUUGCACCUUACCGCCCAGACCUCCUCUGUGCUGACUUUUCUUUGAAGUCAGCGGUAGACCUGCGGGUAGAAGGCCUGUAGGAAACAGACGCUCAACUGUCAAAUUGGUCAUAAUUGUUUUUAUAUUUUGCACUUUGUUUUGAAUUACUCAACCUCUCCACAC